rnacentral:lncRNA from 1 species
AUUUGGAGGCACACAGUCUUUCUACUUUGUCAGCCUUUGCCAUAACUUUUAAAGGACACAAGCAGAGAAAGAACAGAUGGAAAUAAUGAUGAUUGCUUACUUUGAACAUUGCGAGAAAUGCACAGUGCCUAUAAGGUCUCAUCCAACUUAAUGGAAGGACUAUCAAUCUCCUGUACUUAUAUUGCCUCUGUUACCGUAGGAUUAGAGCACCUCAGCAACUUUCAGGGAUUCAUCCUCAGGACUAAAAGACACACAGUCCAUGCUCUAAGCAGGUACAGAGCUUCUCUGAUCUUCACUUUCAACUCCCAUCGUGGCCUUGGGUGAAACUUCUCUCUGCCUCUGCUUUCUCAUUUGUAAGACCACAGUGAUGACGCUUAUCUUCAACACAAGCUGUGAACAUCUCUGAUUGUAUUCAGCUGCUUCCCCUGGAGUACAGAGUUACUGUAAGAGCUUUGGCAUGAAGGUAUGGAUAAAUUUGCUUCUUCUGUGUAGCUGUAUUUAUAAAAUGCUGUGGAAUUUAAGAGCGUGAAACAGCAUUUGGACUGGUUCUUUAGGUAAAAGAUGUAUGCACGCUCCCUCUAACAUUUAGGAACAAGAGCUCUGGGUGGCACAAGUCUGCUUUAACUUCAAUUGGAAAGAAUUUCCUUUGGUGAGAUAUAUUGAUUUAGUUCAGCUAAAGUCCAGGCCCAUCCCUUUUCAGCAGCAACAUUUCCUAAAAUGAUUGGGAAGAGUUGGGGAGGAGAUUUGCAGCCAAGCCAAAACUCAAGGGAACUAAAACUGUCUUAGCUGAUUAACAGAAAUGAAAGCUGCUCAGAAACAAAUCUGAGCAUGAAUUUGGAGCACAAGAAUUAAUUGAGAAGGAGACUCUCUUUGUACUUCAUUUAGUAGGUCAGACAGUUUAUCCACCAAGAUGCCUUUGAAGCUGCCAGCAAAAAAGGCAUCAUGGGGAAGAUGAAACAAGCCAGUGAGUAAAGUCAACUGCUUGUCCUAAAACCCAUAAUUCAGACCAAAUUAGUUGCAUGCUGUAUAACACAAGCCUAAGCCAGAGAAGCUCCAUUAUCCAUCCCAAAAAGAGAGCAGGGAAGGGGCAUCUGUGAGAAGCAGGGAGCUGAAGGCAACAUGUAAAUCUUAUCAGUGCUGAAAGAGAGGUGUAAAGCUGGAAGGCUGAAUUUCUGCUUCAGUCACUCAGUCAUGCAGUGCUUUUGCUUUCAGUGCAGAGAACACCCGAAGAAUGAAUGCAAACAUGGCAAUGUUCUCCCUUCCUGAUGGCGUUCAGCUAAUGGUGGUGUGGGCAGGUGAAAGUCAUGGUAACAGCACAGAGACU